UGCCAGCCGCCGCGGUAAUACGAAGGGUGCAAGCGUUGUUCGGAUUUAUUGGGCGUAAAGCGCGCGCAGGCGGAUAAUCAAGUCAGAUGUGAAAUCUCGGGGCUCAACCUCGAAACUGCGUCUGAAACUGUUUAUCUAGAGUCUUGGAGAGGGAGGUGGAAUUUCGCAUGUAGGGGUAAAAUCCGUAGAGAUGCGAAGGAACAUCGGAGGCGAAGGCGACCUCCUGGACAAGUACUGACGCUGAGGCGCGAAAGCGUGGGGAGCAAACAGGAUUAGAUA
rnacentral:rRNA from 1 species